GGUCGUACACGAUGGACAGGAACCUGUAGAACCAGUAGGCCUCCUUCUUGUGCUGGAUGAACCUAGGCUGCGCAGAUGGCCUUGACGCCGACACGCUGCUGCUGCUGCUGCUGCUGCAUCUUGUCGCCACGGAGAGUCUCCGCGUGGCUGUGUUUGAGACGAGACUCAGCGGAGGACUUGGUCUGGCGUGUAGAUUGGAAGCGGGGAAACCUAAUCCCUUGGGGAAGGUGAUGGCUCCGUUGAGCAUGAGAGAAGCCAUUGGUGAAGCGUGAAAUGCUUAUCAGAUCGGGUAGUUGGAAACGAGGCGCUUUAUCACCACUGAACGAGCAGGCCUUAAAUCAGAGUGAUGACUCGCAGCCACAUACCUUAUUUAUUUAUUAUUUGAUGUAAUUAUAAUAUCGUAACGUUGUUGUACGUUGCGAUUACCCAUUUUGAUGGCCUAUUGAAAAAUGGGAUGAAAUUUACAGUUCCAUGAUAGUUUUGGGCUUUAAUAACGUGACUUGAAGAAAAGAGGUCCAUAUCUGGUCGCGACGGAGAGUCUCCGCGUGGCUGUGUUUGAGACGAGACUCAGCGGAGGACUUGGUCUGGCGUGUAGAUUGGAAGCGGGGAAACCUAAUCCCUUGGGGAAGGUGAUGGCUCCGUUGAGCAUGAGAGAAGCCAUUGGUGAAGCGUGAAAUGCUUAUCAGAUCGGGUAGUUGGAAACGAGGCGCUUUAUCACCACUGAACGAGCAGGCCUUAAAUCAGAGUGAUGACUCGCAGCCACAUACCUUAUUUAUUUAUUAUUUGAUGUAAUUAUAAUAUCGUAACGUUGUUGUACGUUGCGAUUACCCAUUUUGAUGGCCUAUUGAAAAAUGGGAUGAAAUUUACAGUUCCAUGAUAGUUUUGGGCUUUAAUAACGUGAC
rnacentral:lncRNA from 1 species